rnacentral:rRNA from 1 species
AUUGAACGCUGGCGGCAGGCCUAACACAUGCAAGUCGAACGAGUGGCGGACGGGUGAGUAAUGUCUGGGAAACUGCCUGAUGGAGGGGGUUAACUACUGGAAACGGUAGCUAAUACCGCAUACCAUCGGAUGUGCCCAGAUGGGAUUAGCUAGUAGGUGGGGUAAAGGCUCACCUAGGCGACGAUCCCUAGAUGGUCUGAGAGGAUGACCAGCAAGACUGGAACUGAGACACGGUACAGAGUCCUACGGGAGGCAGAAGUGGGGAAUAUUGAACAGGGGGCGCAAGCCUGAUGCAGCCAGGCCGCGUGUAUGAAGAAGGCCUUCGGGUUGUAAAGUACUUUCAGCGGGGAGGCGUUACCCACAGAAGAAGCACCGGCUAACUCCGUGCCAGCAGCCGCGGUAAUAC